UACGGAAGGCAGCAGUGGGGAAUAUUGCACAAUGGGCGCAAGCCUGAUGCAGCCAUGCCGCGUGUAUGAAGAAGGCCUUCGGGUUGUAAAGUACUUUCAGUCGUGAGGAAGGUGUUAAGGUUAAUAACCUUAGCAAUUGACGUUAGCGACAGAAGAAGCACCGGCUAACUCCGUGCCAGCAGCCGCGGUAAUACGGAGGGUGCGAGCGUUAAUCGGAAUUACUGGGCGUAAAGGGCACGCAGGCGGUUAAUUAAGUUGGAUGUGAAAUCCCCGGGCUUAACCUGGGAAUGGCAUUCAAGACUGGUUAGCUAGAGUCUUGUAGAGGGGGUAGAAUUCCAUGUGUAGCGGUGAAAUGCGUAGAGAUGUGGAGGAAUACCGGUGGCGAAGGCGGCCCCUGGGACAAAGACUGACGCUCAUGUGCGAAAGCGUGGGGAACAAACAGGGAUUAGAUACC
rnacentral:rRNA from 1 species